GCCUCAGUAGCUCAGUGAUAGAGCGACUGCCUUGUAAGCAGUAGGUCGGGGGUUUGAAUCCCUCCUGAGGCU
rnacentral:tRNA from 1 species